rnacentral:rRNA from 1 species
GGCGUGCUUAACACAUGCAAGUCGAACGCGAAAUUUUUUCUUCGGAAGAAAGAGUAGAGUGGCGCACGGGUGAGUAACGCGUAAGUAAUCUACCCUGGCAUUUGGGAUAACCCACCGAAAGGUGGGCUAAUACCGGAUACGUUGGAAAUAUCCAAGAAAGGUGGCCUCUGAUUUAAGCUACUGUGCUGGGAGGAGCUUGCGUACCAUUAGCUAGUUGGUAGGGUAAAGGCCUACCAAGGCGACGAUGGUUAGCGGGUCUGAGAGGAUGAUCCGCCACACUGGAACUGGAACACGGACCAGACUCCUACGGGAGGCAGCAGUGAGGAAUAUUGCGCAAUGGGGGAAACCCUGACGCAGCGACGCCGCGUGGAUGAUGAAGGCCUUCGGGUCGUAAAAUCCUGUCAGAUGGAAAGAAAUGUAGGUGUGCUAAUAUCGCAUCUAUUUGACGGUACCAUCAAAGGAAGCACCGACUAACUCCGUGCCAGCAGCCGCGGUAAUACGGAGGGUGCAAGCGUUGUUCGGAAUUACUGGGCGUAAAGCGCGCGUAGGCGGCUCUAUAAGUCAGAUGUGAAAGUCCACGGCUCAACCGUGGAAGUGCAUUUGAAACUGUCGAGCUUGAGUAUUGGAGGGGGUGGUGGAAUUCCC